AUGUAUCUUCAAAUUGAAGAGUCUCUUGAAUACUUUGAAAUGCGCUGUAUGACUCUACUCACCAUAUAACUCUUGUAGAUGAGUGAUUAUAGUCCUAGCAGUAGGCAUACGCUUAUGCUGACUUUGCAACUCGUUUGAUAUGAAAGCCAGCAUAUAGCACUUAACCUAAUUGUCUUCAUUUGUCCACUUUUCAUAAGUUGUUCUUUGCUC
rnacentral:lncRNA from 1 species